rnacentral:rRNA from 1 species
AUUGAACGCUGGCGGCAGGCCUAACACAUGCAAGUCGAACGGUAACAGGAAGAAGCUUGCUUCUUUGCUGACGAGUGGCGGACGGGUGAGUAAUGUCUGGGAAACUACCUGAUGGAGGGGGAUAACUACUGGAAACGGUAGCUAAUACCGCAUAACGUCGCAAGACCAAAGAGGGGGACCUUCGGGCCUCUUGCCAUCGGAUGUGCCCAGAUGGGAUUAGCUAGUAGGUGGGGUAACGGCUCACCUAGGCGACGAUCCCUAGCUGGUCUGAGAGGAUGACCAGCCACACUGGAACUGAGACACGGUCCAGACUCCUACGGGAGGCAGCAGUGGGGAAUAUUGCACAAUGGGCGCAAGCCUGAUGCAGCCAUGCCGCGUGUAUGAAGAAGGCCUUCGGGUUAUAAAGUACUUUCAGCGGGGAGGAAGGGAGUAAAGUUAAUACCUUUGCUCAUUGACGUUACCCGCAGAAGAAGCACCGGCUAACUCCGUG